rnacentral:misc_RNA from 1 species
UUAAGUUCAGCGGGUAGUCUCACCCGAUUUGAGGUCAAGGUUUGUAAGGUCGAGUCACAACUCGAACAUUGUCUUUGUCCAAAGACGGUUGGAAAGCAGGUUCCGAGCUGACACUGAGACGUAGAAGAAAUGCUUAUCACGUCGAGGAUCAGCAAAGCGGACCCCACCCAUUCAUUUAGGAGGAGCUGGCUUCAAAAGAG